rnacentral:rRNA from 1 species
GACAAACGCUGGCGGCGUGUAUUAGGCAUGCAAGUCGCACGGACCUUCGGGUCAGUGGCGGACGGGUGAGUAACACGUGGGUAACCUGCCUCGCAGUGGGGAAUAACCCGUCGAAAGACGGGCUAAUACCGCAUACUACUCCCGGUGAGAUUCCGGGCAGUAAAAGCAGUAAUGCGCUGUGAGAGGGGCCCGCGGCCGAUUAGCUAGUUGGUGGGGUAAUGGCUCACCAAGGCGACGAUCGGUAGCUGGUCUGAGAGGAUGGUCAGCCACACGGGGACUGAGAUACGGCCCCGACUCCUACGGGAGGCAGCAGCUAAGAAUCUUGCGCAAUGGGCGAAAGCCUGACGCAGCAACGCCGCGUGGAGGACGAAGGCCCUCGGGUCGUAAACUCCUUUUGCGAGGGAAGAAGAUCUGACGGUACCUCGCGAAUAAGCCACGGCUAACUACGUG